GACGAACGCUGGCGGCGUGCUUAACACAUGCAAGUCGAACGGAAAGGCCCUGCUUUUGUGGGGUGCUCGAUUGGCGAACGGGUGAGUAACACGUGAGUAACCUGCCCUUGACUUUGGGAUAACUUCAGGAAACUGGGGCUAAUACCGGAUAGGAUCUCCUGCUGCAUGGUGGGGGUUGGAAAGUUUCGGCGGUUGGGGAUGGACUCGCGGCUUAUCAGCUUGUUGGUGGGGUAGUGGCUUACCAAGGCUUUGACGGGUAGCCGGCCUGAGAGGGUGACCGGCCACAUUGGGACUGAGAUACGGCCCAGACGCCUACGGGAGGCAGCAGUGGGGAAUAUUGCACAAUGGGCGGGAGCCUGAUGCAGAAACGCCGCGUGCGGGAUGACGGCCUUCGGGUUGUAAACCGCUUUCGCAUGUGACGAAGCGUGCGUGACGGUAAUGGGUAAAGAAGCACCGGCUAACUACGUG
rnacentral:rRNA from 1 species